rnacentral:rRNA from 1 species
CCUACGGGAGGCAGCAGUGAGGAAUCUUGCGCAAUGGGCGAAAGCCUGACGCAGCCACGCCGCGUGCCGGAUGAAGGCCCUAUGGGUUGUAAACGGCUUUUACUAGGGAAGAACGAGAGGGUUUCGAUCUUCUGUGACGGUACCUAGUGAAUAAGCACCGGCUAACUCCGUGCCAGCAGCCGCGGUAAUACGGAGGGUGCAAGCGUUGUCCGGAAUCAUUGGGUGUAAAGGGUACGUAGGCGGGAGCCUAAGUCUGGGGUGAAAUCUUGCCGCUUAACGGUAAAAUGGCCCUGGAUACUGGGUUUCUUGAGUGCAGAAGAGGCAGGUGGAAUUCGUGGUGUAGCGGUGAAAUGCUUAGAUAUCACGAAGAACAUCAGUGGCGAAGGCGGCCUGCUGGUCUGCAACUGACGCUGAGGUACGAAAGCGUGGGGAGCGAACAGGAUUAGAUACCCUGGUAGUCCACGCCGUAAACGAUGCAUACUAGGUGUUGGCCUUAGGGCCAGUGCUGCAGUUAACGCAUUAAGUAUGCCACCUGGGGAGUACGUCGGCAACGAUGAAACUCAAAGGAAUUGACGG